GAUUAACGCUAGCGGCAGGCCUAAUACAUGCAAGUCGAACGGGAUUUCGGGUAGCAAUAUCUGGAUGAGAGUGGCGCACGGGUGCGUAACGCGUAUGUAAUCUACCGCUGACUGGGGAAUAGCCCUCCGAAAGGAGGAUUAACACCGCAUAAUACUAUGAAGAGGCAUCUCUUUAUAGUCAAAACUCUGGUGGUCAGCGAUGAACAUGCGUCCGAUUAGCUAGUUGGUGAGGUAACGGCUCACCAAGGCAACGAUCGGUAGGGGGUCUGAGAGGAUGAUCCCCCACACUGGUACUGAGACACGGACCAGACUCCUACGGGAGGCAGCAGUAAGGAAUAUUGGACAAUGGGCGCAAGCCUGAUCCAGCCAUGCCGCGUGAAGGAUGACGGCCCUAUGGGUUGUAAACUUCUUUUAGCAGGGAAAAAACCCCUCGAUGCGUCGGGGGCUGAUGGUACCUGCAGAAUAAGGAUCGGCUAACUCCGUG
rnacentral:rRNA from 1 species